GUGACCNGGGGGCAUGGCCGUCGUCAGCUCGUGUCGUGAGAUGUUGGGUUAAGUCCCGCAACGAGCGCANCCCUUAUGUUUAGUUGCCAGCAUUCAGUUGGGCACUCUAGACAGACUGCCGGUGACAAACCGGAGGAAGGCGGGGACGACGUCAGGUCAUCAUGCCCCUUAUGACCUGGGCUACACACGUGCUACAAUGGCGUAUACAACGAGCAGCAAACCUGUGAAGGUAAGCGAAUCUCUUAAAGUACGUCUCAGUUCGGAUUGUAGUCUGCAACUCGACUACAUGAAGUCGGAAUCGCUAGUAAUCGCGGAUCAGCAUGCCGCGGUGAAUACGUUCCCGGGUCUUGUACACACCGCCCGUCACACCAUGGGAGUUGGUAAUGCCCAAAGCCGGUGGCCUAACCUUCGGGGAGGAGCCGUCUAAGGCAGGACUGAUGACUGGGGUGAAGUCGUAACAAGGUAGCCGUAGGAGAACCUGCGGCUGGAUCACCUCCUUUCUAAGGAUAACCGGAACGUUACAGGGACUUAAGUGUCAAUUUGAUUUGUUACAAAGUUUUGUUUAGUUUUGAGUGUGUGAACUCUACCGAAUUUGGGUACGGGGGAUUAGCUCAGCUGGGAGAGCACCUGCUUUGCAAGCAGGGGGUCAUCGGUUCGAUCCCGAUAUUCUCCAUUGGUUGCUUCGGUAACCAAGCUUGUACAUUGAAAACUGAAUAAUCAAGAAAAUCUUUUAAAAUCAAGAAAUUGAUUCUUAAAUAAACCGAGAAACAACACAAGUUCUUUAAAAGAACGGUUUAAUCGCAGGUCUGAAAAAUGACCAACUCAUAAAACUGAUCCAACUAUAAAUAGUUGUGGUUAAGUGAAUAAGGGCGCGUGGUGGAUGCCUUGGCACUAGGAGCCGAUGAAGGACGUGACUAACUACGAUAAGCUUCGGGGAGCGGUAAGUACGCUAUGAGCCGGAGAUUUCCGAAUGGGGAAACCCAACAUUAUAAUGUUAUCUAAAAGUGAAUACAUAGCUUUUAGAAGGAAUACGCUGUGAACUGAAACAUCUCAUUAGCAGCAGGAGCAGAAAGAAAAAUCGAUUCCCUGAGUAGCGGCGAGCGAAACGGGAAGAGCCCAAACCAGGAUGCUUGCAUCUUGGGGUUGUAGGACUGUCGUUGAGUUACCAAGUAAGCAUUUAGGUGAAAACGUUGGGAAGCGUUAUCAAAGAGGGUGAUAAUCCCGUAACCGAAAGAUGACUUACCUCUAGACAGGAUCCUGAGUACGGCCGGACACGAGAAAUCCGGUCGGAAUCUGCGGGGACCAUCCCGUAAGGCUAAAUACUCCCUAGUGACCGAUAGUGAACCAGUACCGUGAGGGAAAGGUGAAAAGCACCCCGGAAGGGGAGUGAAAUAGUUCCUGAAACCACGACGCCUACAAGAAGUCAGAGCCCGUUAAUGGGUGAUGGCGUGCCUUUUGUAGAAUGAACCGGCGAGUUACGGUAUCGUGCAAGGUUAAGGUGGAAAGACCGGAGCCGCAGCGAAAGCGAGUGUGAAUAGCGCGACAAGUACGAUGCUGUAGACCCGAAACCAGGUGACCUACCCAUGGUCAGGCUGAAGGUGAGGUAAAACUUACUGGAGGGCCGAACCGGUGGAAGUUAAAAAUUCCUCGGAUGAACUGUGGGUAGCGGUGAAAUUCCAAACGAACUUGGAGAUAGCUGGUUCUCUCCGAAAUAGCUUUAGGGCUAGCCUCAUUAUAAGCAUACUGGAGGUAGAGCACUGUUAAGCCUAGGGGCCCAUCUCGGGUUACCAAAGUUUGAUAAACUCCGAAUGCCAGAUAUGUAUGAAUGGGAGUCAGACGAUGAGUGAUAAGAUCCACCGUCGAAAGGGGAACAGCCCAGACUGCCAGUUAAGGUCCCCAAAUAUAUGUUAAGUGGAAAACGAUGUGAUAGUGCAUAGACAACUAGGAUGUUGGCUUAGAAGCAGCCACCAUUUAAAGAGUGCGUAAUAGCUCACUAGUCGAGUGCCAUUGCGCGGAAAAUGUACCGGGGCUAAACAUAUUACCAAACUGCAGGCGUGUUUAAUACACGCGAUAGGAGAGCGUUGUAAGGGCGGCGAAGGUAGACCGUGAGGACUGCUGGAGCGCUUACAAGUGAGAAUGCCGGUAUGAGUAGCGAAAGACAGGUGAGAAUCCUGUCCACCGAAUGACUAAGGUUUCCUGGGGAAGGCUCGUCCACCCAGGGUUAGUCGGGACCUAAGGCGAGGCUGAAAAGCGUAGUCGAUGGCUAACAGGUUGAGAUUCCUGUACUAGUACAAAGCGUUUGACCAAUGGAGGGACGCAGGAGGCUAACAGAUCACACGACUGGAUUGUGUGUCCAAGCAGUAAGUCUUGGUAAGAGUGAAAUGCUUUUACCUAUACGGACAAGCUGUGAUGGGGAGUGAAAUAAAGUAACGAAGUCUGUGACGUCACACUGCCGAGAAAAGCUUCUAGGGAGCGAUGUACUAACCGUACCGCAAACCGACACAGGUAGUCGAGUGGAGAACACUAAGGUGAGCGAGAGAACCCUCGUUAAGGAACUCGGCAAAAUGACCCCGUAACUUCGGGAGAAGGGGUGCUGGACUCCGGUCCAGCCGCAGUGAAAAGGCCCAGGCGACUGUUUAUCAAAAACACAGGUUUCUGCAAAAUCGUAAGAUGACGUAUAGGGGCUGACGCCUGCCCGGUGCUGGAAGGUUAAAAGGAGUGCUUAGACGCAAGUCGAAGGCAUGAAUUGAAGCCCCAGUAAACGGCGGCCGUAACUAUAACGGUCCUAAGGUAGCGAAAUUCCUUGUCGGGUAAGUUCCGACCCGCACGAAAGGCGUAACGAUCUGGGCACUGUCUCAACGAGGGACUCGGUGAAAUUUAAAUACCCGUGAAGAUGCGGGUUACCCGCGACAGGACGGAAAGACCCCAUGGAGCUUUACUGUAGCUUGAUAUUGAAUGUUUGUGCUGCUUGUACAGCAUAGGUAGGAGACGUUGAAGGCGAAACGCUAGUUUCGCUGGAGUCGACCAGUGGGAUACUACCCUCGUUGUAUGAACAUUCUAACUCUGGUCGGUUAUCCCGAUCGAGGACAGUGUCUGGUGGGCAGUUUGACUGGGGCGGUCGCCUGGUAAAAGGUAACGGAGGCGCUCAAAGGUUUGCUCAGGAUGGUUGGAAAUCAUCUGCUGCGUGUAAAGGCAAAAGCAAGCUUGACUGCGAGAGAGACAACUCGAGCAGGUACGAAAGUAGGACUUAGUGAUCCGGUGGUUCCGCAUGGAAGGGCCAUCGCUCAACGGAUAAAAGCUACCCUGGGGAUAACAGGCUCAUCUCCCCCAAGAGUCCACAUCGACGGGGAGGUUUGGCACCUCGAUGUCGGCUCAUCGC
rnacentral:rRNA from 1 species